rnacentral:misc_RNA from 1 species
CAAAUACCGUAAAUCCACAUAUUUACAUAACAUGGGAUGAAAUGCCCAAUAAUCUAGCACACAUGGCAUCAAGAGAGGCCGUCAAUUACCGGACAAAUGUGGUGAACGAAGCGUUUCUGCUUUGGAAGGGAUCAUCAGCCAGAACCACAACCACAACCACUCAGAUGAAGAAAAGAAAUGAGACACGGCUGGGUAGGGUGGGCAUGCCCCUACCUGAUGCCGAGCUGCAGGUUCAGCAUGAGCUCGUAGUUCUUGUGGCCCUUGGCUAUGGUCUCGCCCUGCCGCCGCGGCCCGCGCCGACCGCCGGCGUAGGGCCCUGUCGCCGGCGACGGCGGCGGCAGGCCCCUCCCAUCGCCGGCGUCCUCCACCCUCACCGUCGCGGCGCGCCCCCUCGUCGUCGUCUUCGUCCUUCUCCAAAAGCGUCGCUCUCGCACCUCCUCU